rnacentral:vault_RNA from 1 species
GUGCUGGCUUAGUCGAGUGGGUACUUCGCAAUUCUGCAACCUGUUCAAACAUUGGGACAUUGAGCCGGUCGCGGGUUCGACUCCAGGGUUCGAACUCGCAACUACCCUUAUACCCACUGACGCCAUCCAGCACUUUU